rnacentral:RNase_P_RNA from 1 species
AAAGCAGGCCCACCUUAUCGCUGGGCAGUUUUCUGCCGAGAGGAAAGUCCGGACACCCUAUUGCAGCAUAGCGGGUAACACCCGUCCAUUGUGAGAUGAGGACAAGUGCAACAGAAAGCAGGUACAGGUAAUGCUGUAGUGAAACCAGGUAAACUCUAUGCGGUGCAACGCCAUGUAAACUAACGUUUGAGAGCGGCAAGUUCGAGUUAGAGGGUAGGCGGUUAGAAUCUUUGGGUAACUAAAGAUCUAGAUAAAUGAUAAGGGCGUCUUUAGAUGUUACAGAAUCCGGCUUAUGGCCUGCUUUUUUA